UACAUAUACACACACACACACUGAGCACAAAGCGAUGGCAGCUCUGACAUCUGAGCUAUUAGGGAUAAGAGGAUCAGAAGAUUAUUUCUUUGUAACGUUUUUGAGAUGACACCAAUGACAGACCAGCCUUGACCAGCUUUGUCCAGAUCAUAACAUUGACGAAUUAAAGAAGACCAUCUGGAGCUGAUAAGAGGGUUUGUCACAACUCAUGACUCAACAGGACAAACCCACGGGCAACACGGAUGCCUCUCCAGCAUAGUUCUAGGACCAUCAUCUUCACCAUCAUCAUCAUCAUCAUCAUCAUCAUGAGAGGGGGUGAAAACUGGAGAGGAAGGGACAACUGGAGAGGAAGGGACAACUGGAGAUGAAGGGACAACUGGAGAGGAG